GAUGAACGCUGGCGGCGUGCCUAAUACAUGCAAGUCGAGCGAACGGACGAGAAGCUUGCUUUUCUGAUGUUAGCGGCGGACGGGUGAGUAACACGUGGAUAACCUACCUAUAAGACUGGGAUAACUUCGGGAAACCGGAGCUAAUACCGGAUAAUAUUUUGAACCGCAUGGUUCAAAAGUGAAAGACGGUCUUGCUGUCACUUAUAGAUGGAUCCGCGCUGCAUUAGCUAGUUGGUAAGGUAACGGCUUACCAAGGCAACGAUGCAUAGCCGACCUGAGAGGGUGAUCGGCCACACUGGAACUAAGACACGGUCCAGACUCCUACGGGAGGCAGCAGUAGGGAAUCUUCCGCAAUGGGCGAAAGCCUGACGGAGCAACGCCGCGUGAGUGAUGAAGGUCUUCGGAUCGUAAAACUCUGUUAUUAGGGAAGAACAUAUGUGUAAGUAACUGUGCACAUCUUGACGGUACCUAAUCAGAAAGCCACGGCUAACUACGUG
rnacentral:rRNA from 1 species